UACGUAGGGAGCAAGCGUUGUCCGGAAUCAUUGGGCGUAAAGCGCGUGUAGGCGGCUCGAAAAGUCUGGUGUGAAAACUUGAGGCUCAACCUCAAGCUGUCGCUGGAUACUAUCGAGCUUGAGUCCGGAAGAGGAGUGUGGAAUUCCUGGUGUAGCGGUGAAAUGCGUAGAUAUCGAGAGGAACACCUGAGGUGAAGACGGGUUGCUGGGCUGACACUGACGCUGAGGCGCGAAAGCCAGGGGAGCAAACAGG
rnacentral:rRNA from 1 species